AUGGCUGGCGUGGAGGGGCAGCCGCCGCCUCAGAUCAGCAGCAUGUCCAAGGCGCAGGACGGUGGCACCAAGCCGAAUCUGGUCAAGGAGCACGUUCCGGGGAGCGAGCUCUGGACCGAUGGCCUCAUCUGCGCUUUUGAGCUCGUCAAGGGUCACAGGAAGCUGGUUCAUCACAAAUCGUUGCCAAAGAUUGAUCUCGCGCACAUGAAGAACCAGGCAGCUAGGAAUGGGCAUCGCGUUGUGAGCCCGGCACCGAAUGAGGGAGGUCUGGUGGAGAUCCCCGGCCAGGCGGAGCUUGGUAUCGAUCCUUUUGCGGUCAAAGACAGGCCAUCACAUGCUGGAGAUGUUCAUGAUCACAAGUGGGUGCCGAUUGGAUGGUCAAGGAUUGCUGAGCUGAGCCAGAGGGUUCAGUCAGAUGCUAGCUGGGAGAAUGAACAUGUGCCGAUAAGCGACAGUGAGGAUGAUUACACUGUAGCCGAUGUUGCGGCUCCGUACUGGCUGCGUCCUGGGGGACCUACAUGGUGGUUCCAUGUUACCGCAGGCCAUCCUUCCGUUGACGCAUGGUUGGGUAGUGCUCACUGGAUGCAUCCAGCUAUCAGAACUGCACUGAGAGAUGAAAGCCGGCUGAUAAGCGACCGGAUGAAGUACCUUCUCUAUGAGGUCCCAGUUAGAGUUGCAGGAGGACUGUUAUUUGAGCUUCUUGGUCAAUCAGUUGGGGAUCCAAAUCAUGAAGAGGAAGACAUACCCAUUGUACUUAGAUCGUGGCAGGCACAGAACUUUCUUUUAACUGCAAUGCAUGUGAAAGGUCCUUCAACCAAUGUAAAUGUUUUAGGAGUGACUGAAGUGCAGGAGUUGCUUAUUUCUGGUGGAAGUCAAACACCCAGAUCAGCUCAUGAAGUAAUAGCACAUUUGGUCAGUCGCCUUUCGCGAUGGGAUGACAGAUUGUUCCGUAAAUAUGUCUUUGGGGAAGCAGAUGAAAUUGAAUUGAAGUUUGUGAAUAGGAGAAAUAGUGAAGAUCUGAACCUAGUCAGCAUCAUAUUGAAUCAAGAAAUCAGGAGGUUAGCAACACAGGUGAUCAGGGUUAAAUGGUCACUGCAUGCAAGAGAAGAGAUCAUACUUGAGCUGCUCCGGCAUUUGAGGGGAAGUGCCACAAGAAUCAUUUUAGAGAGAGAGAGGAAGUCCGCAAGGGAGAUGUUGGAGGAGCAGGAAGCUGUCCGUGGCCGCUUGUUCACCAUCCAGGAUGUUAUGCAGAGCACUGUUCGUGCAUGGUUACAGGACAGAAGCCUUCGUAUCACCCACAACCUGGCUAUUUUCGGCGGUGGCGGCAUAGUUCUAUCCAUAAUCACUGGCCUCUUUGGAAUCAACGUGGAUGGCAUACCGGGAGCUCAGAAUACUCCGUAUGCUUUUGGGCUGUUUGCGGGGCUUCUCUUCUUCCUGGGGAUAAUCCUUGUUGGCGUUGGGUUGAUGUAUCUUGGGCUGACAAAUCCAGUAACCAGUGAGAAGGUGAAGGUGAGGAAGCUGGAGCUCCAGCAGCUUGUUUCGAUGUUCCAGCAUGAGGCGGAGCAGCAUGGGAAGGUGAGGGAAGGCCUGAGCCGGCACGGCUUGUCGCCGAGUUCCGCUGCAUCUUCGGGCGAUGAAGGCUACAUCCUGAUUUCCUGA
rnacentral:rRNA from 1 species